AUACGAAGGGGGCUAGCGUUGCUCGGAUUUACUGGGCGUAAAGGGCGCGUAGGCGGACAGUUAAGUUAGGGGUGAAAUCCCGGGGCUCAACCUCGGAACUGCCUUUAAAACUGGCUGUCUUGAGUACGGGAGAGGUGUGUGGAACUCCGAGUGUAGAUGUGAAAUUCGUAGAUAUUCGGAAGAACACCAGUGGCGAAGGCGACACACUGGCCCGUUACUGACGCUGAGGCGCGAAAGCGUGGGGAGCAAACAGGAUUAGAUACCCUGGUAGUCCACGCCGUAAACGAUGAUGACUAGUUGUCGGCAUGCAUGCAUGUCGGUGACGCAGCUAACGCAUUAAGUCAUCCGCCUGGGGAGUACGGUCGCAAGAUUAAA
rnacentral:rRNA from 1 species